AAAAAAAAAAAUUGCCGCAAAAUGAAGUAAUUGUCAUAGUAAGGAAUUCAGGGGCUGCCUUGUUUGAGAGUUUGAUGACAGAGCAGCCAGGGCAGGUGGGGAGUGAGAGAUGGGUGAUUCAGGCAAUGUCCUCCUUUCUUUCACUUCAGAGAGAAGGAUGCAGGAGCCCCAGAUCUGCGAGGCCAGAGAUCUGGUUCUCAGCCCUAACACUUCCUUCUCCCUUGCUUUCCACCUUUAAUCAGUCAAAAAGUAUUGUUGGGGCUCCUAAAUGUUUUUGCAGCUCUGCCCACAGUCUUUUUUAUUUUUUUUUUUACUGAGAAAUUCUCUUAUUUUAUUCCUUUGUGGUCUUAUUUGUUUACAUACAAAAAAAUCCAUCUGAAAUAUUUCGUUUUUGUUGUUUCAUCCUGUGAGGUAGAAAUCUAAUUGGAUUUUUCUCAGGUUCCCAAGAAGAGUUGUCAGUGCUUCCUUCCUAUCCCUAACACCUGCCCACUCCACCUAGAGCACACCCAAGACACCCCAGAAAUGCACCCAGAGGGGAGACAACCCUUACUUUCAUUCUACUCAAGUUCUUUCCAGUUGCCCAGAAUUCUGUUUCCUUCAGUCAUCUCUAGGUGUCAUCCGAGAGGAGCCUCUGCAGGCUGGAUUUUCAGCACAGACACAGAGGUUUGGCUGGCCUAGGGAAACUGGGAUGCUUGGGGGUCCUGCCCCACCGCCGGUGCCGAGCCUGAGCUCUGCCCCAGUGCCGGGCCCCCAGCUCUGUCUCCUCCCAGCACCUGGGGCCGGGUGAGUGGCCCUCUCGGCAGAGGGGAGCUCCACCCCCAGCGUCCCUCUCCCCAACGAAGGAGAAUUGCCCUCUGUGAUUUUACGUGGAAUCUGCCAGCAAGAGCCGCCUGAGAGACUAGACAAUGGAGCUCUCUGUGUCACUGCAGGAAAGGAGAACAAAAAUGCUGACACUUCAGUGAUUACAUCUGGUAUCCGCAGUCACCCGGGAGCAUCCCAAAGAUGACCCAAUAGAUGAGACGUACCUUUUCUUCAGAGUUUAAAUUAGCUUUCAACUAUCUAAAAGAAUGAAAAACUGCUGUAUUAUCUUCAUCUAAUGACAAAAAUAACAAAUACCCAUUUUAAAAGAAUCAGACAAUGCCAAAAUAAUGACAUUACAAACCAUCCAGCACAAAAUACUUGAAUAUUUUUUCCAGAAUUUGUUCACUGGAUAGGUAUAAAAAUCACUGGUUUGGGUUUUCUGGGAAGCAGAUUCUAAGAUGGAGUUUAUUGUGCAGGACAUUUCUUAAGAACUGUCCUUGGGGUCAACACCUGUGGAAAGAAGGGGAUGAAAGCAGAAACAGGUAGAGAGAGAACUUGAGAUGUGUUGCAACCUUGGCUCACCAGACAGGAAGCUCUGGGGUGAAAAUGGCCCAGCAGAAUUGCUCUCUGUUGAGCUAAAAUGACCGGCCUUAUACCCUUACCUCCAUCAGGAAGUACCCACCCUCCCUGCUCGGGAGGGCAGGACAUUGGGAGAGGUAGCCCUGCAGCUGGGUCAGUUCCUGACCGCGCUGACAGCAACAAGUCCUCUUUUGAAGGGGCAUCUGGGUGGUGCCGCUUCACAUCCAUCACCCAGGCACACACACUAUUAUUUUAAACAAAAAUGUAAUCAUAUCAUCUAUGCUAUUAUGACCCUGAUAUUUUUUAUUUAGCAACACAAUGUAAACAUUUCCUCCAUGACCCCAAAUAUAGAUCACAUUCAUUUUUAAUUACUGCAUAUAUUGCAUUGAAUAGAUGUACAAUACUAACGAAAUCCCUGUUGAAGGGCAUUUGAGAACCUUUCUAUUUUUUUGCUGUUAUGAGUACCUCAGUCAUGAACAUCCUAAUGUAUAUAUCUUUUCACACAUGUCUAAUUGACAUAAAGUAAUUCCCAAAAAUGGAAUGGGCCAAAAGGUAUCCAUAUUUGCAUUUGAAGUGUAGUGCCAAAUUACUCCCCAGAACGCUGUACCAAUUUACCAGAGCACUGAAGAUAAUCAACAUCGAUCUUCUUAAUCUUUGCUAAUCUCAUAGGUGAUAAAUAGCUCAUUGUUUUCUUAAUAACAUUUAUUAGUAAGUAGCCAGGUUAAAUGCUGUUUCAGAUGUUGACAGAUUGUAUCUCUUCAUUUAUUUUUCCUCUCGUGAAUUAUCUGUACCCAUCCUUUGCCCGUUUCUCUCUGGUUUGUGUCUGUUACAUUGAGGAUAUGUACCUGUUUGGUACAUAUAAUAUAACGUUAUUUGCUAGUAUGUCAUCUGUGUCUUAUUUUUUCUUUUCCUUUUUCUUUCUCUUCUUAUUUUAUUUUAUUAAACUAACCAAGUCCAUUUAUCACCUCUUUCAGAGUUCUGGUUUGGGCAUUAUUCCUAACAAAUUUCUCUCUACCCAACUCUACAUAGAUAUUCUCGUGAACUUUCUUCUGGUAAUUUUGUAAAUCCUUACACUUUCAAGUUUUCUAUUAGUAAGUAAUGUAAAAAAUAGACAUUCUCUCCCCAGCCCAUUCCUUAAUCUCAUCUUAUUCCCCAACCGUACUGAAUUACCUAUGAUGGAGAAAAGCUAGGAAGAAAACACAGUCUUUAUAUUUCCAAAUGGUCGUUUUGACGCAACUGCAUCAAGUUGUCUGCUUUAAUGGUCUUCCCUCCAUCAGAAAUGCCCCUGAAUGGUCAGACUUUCCGUUUGGAGUUCAUGGAAGCCCUGCCUCUACCUGCAAUAGGAAUCUGAGCCGGGAAGCAGUGUCCUUUCUGCCUCUAGACUGCGGACCUCAGGCCACCCACCUAGGCACGAGCUAUGGACAAUGGAAAGUGGACAAAAUAAGUUCCAAACUGCAGCAGCUGUCCUAGGCAUUGUUCCUGCUCACCCCCAUCCGAGCUCCACAUUCACCUUUCCUUCUACCCAGUUUCCCAGGCUUCCUAGCUCUGUACCUACAUUUACAAGUUAUCCACUCUGCUUUUCCCUCCUGUUGUUUUUUUAAAACACCUUUAUUGAGGUAUAAUUUACAGACCACAAAAUUCACUCAUUUUUAAUAUACAUUGCAAUGGUUUUUAGUAAAUUUACUGUGUGUGCCACUAUCACCACAAUCCAGUUUUAGGACAUUCCAUCACCCCACUAAGACCUUUUCUGUCCAUUUACAAUUAAUCCCCACUCCCAUCCCCAACCCCAGGCAACCACUAAUCUACUUUCUGUCUCUAUAGAGUGGCCUUUCCUGGACAAUGGAAUCAUAUACCCCUCUAGUUUUGACAUUGCCUCUUAUCUCCAAUGAGAAAUGCCAGAUUGAACUUCAGCUCUGUGGAAACUGACCAGCUAGACAUAGGUUCACAAAACUGAAUGAACAUCAGAAUCGGCCUGUGAUGGGGAAUGCUGCUACACACAGACAGUAAAGAUGACACCCAGUCCUAGAUGUGUUUGCUGAGCACUGAGGACGCUCCCACAAAGUAAGGACGUUGCAGAAUCUCCUGAGAACCCAGAGAGGGCUCAGGCAAGGCUGGAGCUGAGAAAGCAAAUGCAGAGCCUCCACCCCUGCCCAUUUUCCUGCCACGGGCCCCAACUCCAUGUUUCCAGGACUCACUCAUGACCUUCUGUACUGACAGCCCCACAGGGGAAGCUGAAGCCAGACUAUAACCCAGAGAGUCUGUUCAGCUGAUCUCCAAGGAGCGGCAAACCGUCUUCUCCAUACACAGCUAGGCUCGCGUUUUAAAGUCCAAAACCCAAAACCAGGUUACCAACGUGAUGUCACUGAAUUGCUGCUGAUGAACAUGGAGCUGGAGAAGAGAUGCCACAAUCAGCUCCUGGAAGCUGAUUUUCCAGAGCACGUAUCACCGCCUUGCAUAGCACGUUACUUAUCCCCAAGAAAUAUGGUAGCAGGAGGAAAAGCAAGAAAGCAGAGACCGAGAGAGAGGCUGAAGCACGUUAACGCUGACCACUGGAGAGACCAUCCUUCCUCAGCUGCGGAGGACCCCAAAUGCAAACACAAGUGUCCUUAUAAAGGAGAGACAGAGAGAUUUGACAUGCAGAAGAGAAGAUCACGUGACCAUGGAGGCAGAGACUGAAGUGAUGUGGCCACAACCAGGGAGUGCUGGCAGCCACCAGAAGCUGGAAGCAGCAAGGAAUGGAGUCUUCCCAGAACCUCCAGUGGAGUGGCUCUGCUGACACUUUGACUUUGGCCCAGUGAAACUUAUUUUGGACUUCUGGCCUCUAGAACCGUGAGAGAAUAAAUCUCUGUUGUCUGAAGCCACCAAGUUUGUGGCCAGUUGUUUCAGUGGCAUUAAGAAACACUAACCCGGGCUUCCCAGGUGGCGCAGUGCUUGAGAGUCCGCCUGCCGAUGCAGGGGACACGGGUUCGUGCCCCGGUCCGGGAGGA